rnacentral:tRNA from 1 species
GCCUGCUUAGCUUCAAUUGGUAGAGCAUCGGUUUUGUAAACCGAGGGUUAUCGGUUCAACUCCGGUAGCAGGCU